GCGGGUGUCGCAUAGUGGUAGUGCCUCAGCUUCCCAAGCUGAUGGGAGGAGUUCGAUUCUCCUCACCCGCU
rnacentral:tRNA from 1 species